UCCGAGUCGGAGUCGGAAUUAGAUUCAUCCAUUGUUGUUGGUACUUGAGUAGUUGGAGUACUCGAACCUUGAGGAGUUGGAGUUGGAAUUUGAGUUGGAUUCGAAAUUGGAGUUGGAAUUUGAGGAGUUGAAGUUGGAGUCGAAGUUGCAGUCGGAACAUGAGUACUUGAAGAAGGUUCUUCAUGGUCGACAGAACUUCGUGUAAGUCGUCGUUUUUUACUAACCAAUGUUUUUUUGGGUGUCAUUUAUAAUCUGUGAAUACAACAAAAUAUUCAGCACUUAAAAUCAAUAAAAACAGAAAAAUAAAAUAAAAUAAAAAAAUUACUCACAAAUAAUAUAUAAAAAAUCCAUAAUUAGGCACUACAAAUCUCUAGGUGGCCUUUUCAAUACAACACUCCAAUCUAAUUUUUUAGGAUCAUCCACAUAGAAAUAUUGUUGUGCUUGUGCUGCCAAGAUAAAUGGUUCGUCUUGGUGCUUUAAUCGUUUAGUGUUUAUAGAUAUAAUACCAAACGUAUCAACUUGUAUCCCAUUUGUAGAUUGGUCAUCAAACUAAUUGCAAUGAAAGAGUGUUUUUACAUGAUUUGAUCCAUAUUGUAGUUCAAUAACAUAAUUUAAUCUUCCAUAAUUAAAUCUUCUAUAAUUUAAUCUUCCAUAAUUAAAUCCAUCUGAUGCCAAUCCUAGUCUAACAUUUCGAGGUUCUAUAACAAAUUCUGAAUUGACACCAUUUAACACUCUCCAUUGUUCCGUAUCUAAUGGAUGACGAAGUACGUCAUCUCUCAAACGACGAUCUUCAUGUCAUGUCAUAUCAGUACACACCUACUUCGAAUAAAUUAAAAUAUUUUAGAAUGUGAUUGAUUGACGAGUAUUUGACACAUAAGAAAUCAACAACAUGUACAUACCUUACUACACAUAUACAAUCUCUUAAGUAUUGGAACCAAGGGGAAGUGUCUCAAAACUUUAAUAGGAAUGCGUUUCCCAUUCGCUUUUCUUUCGACCUUCCAUCUUGGCUCAUUGUAUCGUAUACAAGUUUCUGAAUUUUCGAAUUCUUUUUCGAUAAAGAAUGCAAUUAUUUGGACAUGCAUCGAUCUUCACGUAGUUCAAUCCAAGAUCUCUAAGGUAUGAUUUUUCUUCAUGCAUUGUUUUAGGAAUUGAAAUAUCACCCGAAGGAAUAACAUCUCGUAAGAAUUCCAACAACAUCUCAAAGAAUUUGUUAGAAACCCCAUUCAAGCAUUUUAGAUGGUAUAAAUGGAGAAGUAGAAACUGCUAUUUCACGUCUCUUGCGUUUCAAUGCUUUUUUAUGUGCUCUCGAACCUGGAAUUAAUUCCCCAUGCAUAUACCAUGUCUUAUACCUAUAUGCAUUGUCAAAACUAAAGAGUAUGACAUGCUCACUAAUGGUCUUAACAUUAUAAUAUUUGUCAUUGUGACACUUUGAACAAGGACAUGGUAGUUUUAAUCCAGGCUUCAUCUUUUGGUUUGAAUAGAUUUCAGCAAAAUCUAAAAAACUUUUCAAUCCACUUUGAAAUUUCACCGAGGUUGAACUUUCAAACGACCAUGAUUUGUCAAACCCUUCUAUUUGAUCAGUCAUUUUAGUCUAUCUCCUAACAUACAAAUAAAAAGAAACCUCUUAAAAAUCAAUAUUUAAAUGAAAAAGGUAUUAAAAUAAGUAUUCAAAAAACUUAUACAAAAAUAACUAACUCUAACUAAACAUUUCUAAAUAAUAUAAAAUCUAGCAUAAUAUAACAGAGAGUUCUAAAUAAACAUUUAUUUAGAAUAUUUAUUAACAUCAAAUCAUGAAAACAGAACGGAUAAUAGAAGUAUAGAACUACAAAAGUAGGAUAGGGUUGAAAUAAGACAAUGAUUGAUACACAUACAAAAUUGAAAUUGAUACACCAUUAUAGCCUAAUGUGAAACAGAAUAAAUCAGAAGAAAAAAAGAGUAAAACUUAUGAUAGUCGAUAUUUAUAAUUAAACACUUAAAACAGUAAAACUUUUAUUAUAAAAACUUAAAACAAUAAAACUAGAAAAUUAAACACGAUGUGAAUCAUAUGAUAGUCGAUAGAAACUAAGAGUUUAUAAAUUUUAGGGAUCGAAAAUACCCAAAAGUACCAAAGGACUCUUACCUGGAAGUUGCCGGACCGAAGUGUUACCAAAGGACUGGAAGUUGCCGAACUGGAGUGGCCGGACUGGAGUAAUCAGAUAUAUUUGUGAUCAGAUAUAUCAUAUAUGUAAUCAAAUACCAGUAAACCAGUAAAUGAUUUAUAUAAAACAUCUAUUUUAUAAAAUAAAAACAUAAUUAAUAAGUUGAUCAAUGUUUAAGAAUUCACAUUUUUUUUUUGAAAGCAAAGAAUUUAGAUUUUAUCAAAUGCAAAAAUGAAUGAUCCAAAAAUAAGUAUUUAAAUAUUUAAAAAUCAAUAUUUAAAUGAAAAAACUAUUAAAAUAAGUAUUCAAGAAAACUUAUACAAAAAUAACUAACUCUAACUAAACAUUUCUAAAUAAUAUAAAAUCGUGAUUAUCUAGACACCAUGUGAUAUUACGAUGCACCUCAUCAGAGAAAUUACCGGAGGAAGAAAAAAGUUAAAACUAAACAAGAAAAAUCAAAAUAGUUUUGAUUGAAGAUAACAAAAACCGAAUCUGACUACCACAUACUAAACCCAAUAGCUCACAUGUUAAACACUACCAAUAAAUUAAUAUUUAUAUUUAAAAGUAAUUUAACGACUUAUUUCAAACCUUGACUAAGACAACAAGUAACUAAGUCAGCACUCGUGAAUCUACUUGAUGAUUGAAUAAUCUUUCAAGUAUGGAGGGCAACCAUCAACAAUUUGGUGUGACAACCUUGGCCGGGGGGCUACACAAUUUUUUCCCAAUUCAACCUUCCACACCAAGAUGAAGUACAUAACUCUUGACUAUAACUUCAUUCGGGAAAGAAUUGAAGAAAGAAAACCAGGAUCAUCUAUAUAUCUAAUACUCUACAAAGAGCUGAUAUAUAUAUAUAUACACUCACAAAGAGGGUCUUCAGACCUCAUUCAUUUCAGAAUUUUCUAAGAUAUGGUUAAAGUCCUUACUACAAGUAAAUUCAAAUUAAAUAUUAUCUUCAAAUUAUAACAAGCUAACAUUGAAUUACUUAGAUAAGGUAUCACGUAUAUAUCUUAUCUGUAUUACAUAGGAUUGAAAGUAAUUCUCAUCUCAUCUUAUCUCAUAAGAUGAGUCUCUAUCUUCUCACCAUGUAUAAAUACUAGGGGUGAAUGAUAAAACAGUGACCGGUUAUUUUCACAACCAUUUCACUACCUUCAUCCUUCAUCAUAAUCAAUAAUUGUCGAAUGAUCUUUUUUCUUCUUCAGAUGAUAAGGAGGAGUUGGAUGACUCCAGAUUUGUGUACUUCGACUACAAUCAUCUCACUCUUUCUGUGGGGAUGAUUUUUCUGAAACAUCAACAUCCACCAUCCGAAACAUCAAUCAUCCCACUCUGUAAUCCAAAUACUUAAGAUCAUUUACCUCUGUUUCGUCCUCUUUUACCUAUGAAAAAUACCCACAUCCACCAUAUGUUGGCAAAAUAUGUAAAACGAAACGAUUAUAUAUAAAAUGAAAUUUCAAACAGAUGGUCGGUCCCAUUUAAGAGUAAUGAAAUGUAGUUGUGGCAAAGCAACAACAAACAAAGAGAAUUCAAAAAUUUCUGUUAUAAAAGAAAGCAAAAGAAAAGAACGAAACGAAAUGAAGAACAAAGAAGGAUGUAACUGUUUCUUACUAACCUGAUCGAUUCGAGCAAACCCCAACCAACCAGUAGCAACGUAGGGAGAAGUGGAGAAGAGAUUCGCGGAGUCCGGAGGCCGGAGAAGAUGGAUUUGGGGGAGAAUGGGGGAGAAGGGGGGGGAAGCAGGGGUUUACGAUUUUGGGGAGAUA
rnacentral:lncRNA from 1 species